UAGCUAGUUGGUGAGGUAAAGGCUUACCAAGGCGACGAUCUGUAGCGGGUCUGAGAGGAUGAUCCGCCACACUGGAACUGAGACACGGUCCAGACUCCUACGGGAGGCAGCAGUGGGGAAUUUUGGACAAUGGGGGCAACCCUGAUCCAGCCAUACCGCGUGAGUGAAGGAGGCCUUCGGGUUGUAAAGCUCUUUCGGCCGGGAAGAAAUCGCAUGGGCCAAUACCCUGUGUGGAUGACGGUACCGGAAUAAGAAGCACCGGCUAACUACGUGCCAGCAGCCGCGGUAAUACGUAGGGUGCGAGCGUUAAUCGGAAUUACUGGGCGUAAAGCGAGCGCAGGCGGUUUUGUAAGACAGGCGUGAAAUCCCCGGGCUUAACCUGGGAACUGCGUUUGUGACUGCAAGGCUAGAGUACGGCAGAGGGGGGUGGAAUUCCACGUGUAGCAGUGAAAUGCGUAGAGAUGUGGAGGAACACCAAUGGCGAAGGCAGCCCCCUGGGUCGAUACUGACGCUCAUGCACGAAAGCGUGGGUAGCAAACAGGAUUAGAUACCCUGGUAGUCCACGCCCUAAACUAUGUCAACUAGGUGUUGGGUGGGUAAAACCAUUUAGUACCGUAGCUAACGCGUGAAGUUGACCGCCUGGGGAGUACGGCCGCAAGGUUAAAACUCAAAGGAAUUGACGGGGACCCGCACAAGCGGUGGAUGAUGUGGAUUAAUUCGAUGCAACGCGAAAAACCUUACCUACCCUUGACAUGCCAGGAACUUGCCAGAGAUGGCUUGGUGCCCGAAAGGGAGCCUGGACACAGGUGCUGCAUGGCCGUCGUCAGCUCGUGUCGUGAGAUGUUGGGUUAAGUCCCGCAACGAGCGCAACCCUUGUCGUUAAUUGCCAUCAUUUGGUUGGGCACUUUAACGAGACUGCCGGUGACAAACCGGAGGAAGGUGGGGAUGACGUCAAGUCCUCAUGGCCCUUAUGGGUAGGGCUUCACACGUCAUACAAUGGUCGGUACAAAGGGUUGCCAAGCCGCGAGGCGGAGCCAAUCCCAGAAAGCCGAUCGUAGUCCGGAUUGCAGGCUGCAACUCGCCUGCAUGAAGUCGGAAUCGCUAGUAAUCGUGGAUCAGCAUGUCACGGUGAAUACGUUCCCGGGUCUUGUACACACCGCCCGUCACACCAUGGGGGCGGGUUCCGCCAGAAGUAGGUAGCCUAACCGCAAGGAGGGCGCUUACCACGGCGGGGUUCGUGACUGGGGUGAAGUCGUAACAAGGUAGCCGUAGGGGAACCUGCGGCUG
rnacentral:rRNA from 1 species